rnacentral:rRNA from 1 species
GAUGAAUGCUGGCGGCGUGCUUAACACAUGCAAGUCGAGCGGUAAGGCCCUUCGGGGUACACGAGCGGCGGACGGCUGAGUAACGCGUGGGAACAUGCCCUAAAGUGAGGAAUAACUGCCCGAAAGGGUGGCUAAUGCCGCAUAUGAUCUUCGGAUUAAAGGAUUUAUCCGCUUUAGGAGUGGCCUGCGUACGAUUAGCUUGUUGGUGAGGUAAUGGCUUACCAAGGCGACGAUCGUUAGCUGGUCUGAGAGGAUGACCAGCCAGACUGGAACUGAGACACGGUCCAGACUCCUACGGGAGGCAGCAGUGAGGAAUCUUCCACAAUGGGCGAAAGCCUGAUGGAGCAACGCCGCGUGCAGGAUGAAGGCCCUCGGGUCGUAAACUGCUUUUAUGAGUGAAGAAUAUGACGGUAACUCAUGAAUAAGCACCGGCUAACUACGUGCCAGCAGCCGCAGUA